UGAUUUGGCCCCCUUUCCUUGACAUCUC
rnacentral:piRNA from 2 species